rnacentral:tRNA from 1 species
AUUAAAGUGGCAGAAAAUUGCGAGGGAUUUAAGCUCCCUUUAUGAUUUACCUCCUUUAAUA